rnacentral:rRNA from 1 species
AGAUUGAACGCUGGCGGCAGGCCUAACACAUGCAAGUCGAGCGGCAGCACGGGUACUUGUACCUGGUGGCGAGCGGCGGACGGGUGAGUAAUGCCUAGGAAUCUGCCUGGUAGUGGGGGAUAACGCUCGGAAACGGACGCUAAUACCGCAUACGUCCUACGGGAGAAAGCAGGGGACCUUCGGGCCUUGCGCUAUCAGAUGAGCCUAGGUCGGAUUAGCUAGUUGGUGAGGUAUGGCUCACCAAGGCGACGAUCCGUAACUGGUCUGGAGAGGAUGAUCAGCCACACGUGGGACCUGACGACGACCGGCCCAGGACCUCCGUACGGGAGGCAGGACGAGGUGGGGUAAUAGUUACGGAAC